CAGGUUGUCCCCUCUGUCUCUGUCUGUCUCUCUCCCCAUCAUUUGCUUUUUUGCCGGGUCCGGAAUCUCCGCGACGGAGAUCGAAGGAGGAGGAGGAGGAGGAAAAGGAGUUGGAGAUGGAGAUGGGAAUGGAAAGUUCUUCGCGUGCUACCUCUUGGUCUCCCUCAGCCCUCGCCACAAGGGUUAAACCUACAUCGGGUUCACGGUGAACCCUAGACGGCGAAUCAGGCAACACAACGGGGAAUUGAUGUGCGGAGCGUGGAGGACCAAGUGAAAGCGACCUUGGGAAAUGGUCUUCUGCAUCUACGGCUUCCCCUCCCAUGUCUCCGCUCUUCAGCCAUUAUGCCGUCAAUGCAUGCUUGGCUCCGCUAUAUUCAGUUGAAGGAAUGCAUGUGAUCACAGUGGAGGGAAUUGGAAAUCGAAUGCAUGGCCUGCACCCAGUUCAAGAAUCACUUGCGCGUGCUCAUGGUUCACAGUGUGGAUUUUGCA